rnacentral:tRNA from 1 species
AUAAGGGUGGGGUAGCCAGGAAAUCCCGACGGGCCCAUAACCCGUAGAUCAGUGGUUCAAAUCCACUCCCCGCUA